UGGAAAAUGAUUUUUUUUUUCAUUUUUUCUCCCUUAUUUUUUAUUCCAUUGUUCAAAAGUAAAUGAGUAAAAAGGUAAUGAGUUUUGUAAUUACGAAAUGAUUUGAUUCCAAUAGUAGGAUAACAAAAGUAGGUAAACAAACAUGAUAAUGGGUAUCAAAACUCAUAGUAAGGUGCAAAAAGUUUGACCAAACUUCA